rnacentral:rRNA from 1 species
UGGGGAAUAUUGGACAAUGGGCGAAAGCCUGAUCCAGCCAUGCCGCGUGUGUGAAGAAGGUCUUCGGAUUAUAAAGCACUUUAAGUUGGGAGGAAGGGCAGUAAGCGAAUACCUUGCUGUUUUGACGUUACCGACAGAAUAAGCACCGGCUAACUCUGUGCCAGCAGCCGCGGUAAUACAGAGGGUGCAAGCGUUAAUCGGAAUUACUGGGCGUAAAGCGCGCGUAGGUGGUUCGUUAAGUUGAAUGUGAAAGCCCCGGGCUCAACCUGGGAACUGCAUCCAAAACUGGCGAGCUAGAGUAGGGCAGAGGGUGGUGGAAUUUCCUGUGUAGCGGUGAAAUGCGUAGAUAUAGGAAGGAACACCAGUGGCGAAGGCGACCACCUGGGCUCAUACUGACACUGAGGUGCGAAAGCGUGGGGAGCAAACAGG